rnacentral:rRNA from 1 species
CCUACGGGAGGCAGCAGUGAGGAAUAUUGGUCAAUGGACGAGAGUCUGAACCAGCCACGUAGCGUGAAGGAUGACUGCCCUAUGGGUUGUAAGCUUCUUUUAUAUGGGAAUAAAAUGUUCCACGUGUGGGAUUUUGUAUGUACCAUAUGAAUUAGGAUCGGCUAACUCCGUGCCAGCAGCCGCGGUAAUACGGUGGAUCCGAGCGUUAUCCGGAUUUAUUGGGUUUAAAGGGAGCGUAGGUGGAUUGUUAAGUCAGUUGUGAAAAUUUGCGGCUCAACCGUAAGAUUGCAGUUGAAACUGGCAGUCUUGAGUACAGUAGAGGUAGGCGGAAUUCGUGGUGUAGCGGUGAAAUGCUUAGAUAUCACGAAGAACUCCGAAUGCGAAGGCAGCUCACUGGACUGCAACUGACACUGAGGCUCGAAAGUGUGGGUAGCAAACAGGAUUAGAUACCCCUGUAGUC